GUUGUAAGGACGCGCUGCCAUCCAGUGGCCGUCCGUAGUUUGGUAACCACAGAGUUUGUUUCCACCCGAACUACAAAACAUGUUACACCUCAAAUGUAGUUCCGCUGCGUUGAUUUCAAGACAUUUCUCAUUCUACUGAUGGAUUAACCCCCUCAGGCCGACAUGCUGCACCCCGCUGAGGCCCUGAUGCGGCCCCUGUCCAGGAAUGAGGUGCUGGGCAUGUUGAUCAGGUUGACCGUCUUCGGUGCAGCCACAUACUACAGCAUCAAGUGGGUAGUUGACGCUAUGGACCCCACCUCCAAACAGAAAAGCCAGUCCAAGAAAAGGGCAGAGCAGCUUAUGAAGAGGAUCGGCGUCGAGGGAAUAAAACUAACAGAUUAUGAACUGAACAUAGCAACGCAUUUAGUUGAUCCACAAACGAUAAAGGUUUCCUGGAAUGAUAUUGCUGGUCUUGAAGAUAUUAUCAACGAACUACAAGACACGGUUAUCCUACCUUUUCAGAAGAGACACCUUUUACCUGGAUCCAAACUCUUUCAGCCUCCUAAAGGAGUCUUAUUAUUUGGUCCUCCUGGUUGUGGGAAGACAAUGAUCGCCAAGGCAACCGCCAAAGCCUCAGGAUGCAAGUUCAUCAACCUGCAGGCGUCCACUCUGACAGACAUGUGGUACGGGGAGUCCCAGAAGCUGACUGCUGCCGUCUUCUCUCUAGCCGUCAAAAUCCAGCCGUGCAUCAUCUUCAUUGAUGAGAUCGAGUCCUUUCUAAGGAAUCGCUCCAGCCUGGACCACGAGGCCACAGCCAUGAUGAAGGCCCAGUUCAUGAGCCUGUGGGACGGACUCGACACCUCUCCAACCACACAGGUGAUGGUGAUGGGAGCCACAAACCGACCGCAGGAUGUGGAUCCAGCGAUUCGGCGCAGGAUGCCUGCUGCCUUUCACGUUGGCCUGCCGGACGUGAGGCAGAGAGAGGACAUCCUGAGGCUGAUUCUGGCAGGAGAAAAUCUCAGUAACGCCAUUAAUCUGAAGCAGAUUGCCGAAAGGACUCAGGGCUACUCCGGCAGCGACCUGAGGGAGCUGUGCCGGGACGCGGCUCUGUACCGCGUCAGGGACUACGUACGCAAGGAGGAGAUGAGGCAGAUCGGGCGGCUGCUGCAGGACAGUGAGGAGGAGGAGCUCCCCGUGGACAAAGAGCAGCUGCGACCAGUCACCCAGCUGGACCUCCUCUUCGGCCUGGAUAAGAUGAAGGAGUCCAAACGGGCCACAUCCACCAUGCUAGGCAGCCCAUCGGAGGUUCCUCUGGACUGAACGCUCUGAGAAAACUGGCUGUCGGCAUUCAUCUCAUCAACUACAGACCACUAUUUAGGACGGGCCUUCUCCAGCCUUCAUUUUCAGAUCAUCUUCACACGUGCCGACCUGGGUCCUACACUCCACUACUAUCGCCUGGUUCCACGCCCAGAACUCUGCCACGCCGCCAUCAACUUCAUUCACCAACUGGAUCUUCGUUCUGCCGCUCCUGGGUUCAUCUCUCGCUCUUCACCUCAAGACGAGCUCAGGUUCCAGACCGCUUCUUCCUCUGGCCCCAGAACUCCAGUUUCAGUUCACCAGACACCCAACGGAGAAAUAAAGUCUCGUAUCAUGCUUCUGUUUCUAUGAUCAUCUGGGUGUGCUUCACCUCACUCUGUAGGCAUGUCACAUCUUUUAUUUUCCCUUUUGAGGUUGUAAUAGUCACCAGCUGCAUUGAUAAAAUGACUAACUUGUCAAUUAUGAUUUAAAAAAAAAAAAAAGAUUUACUUAUAACUGACUGAAAGCAUUCCUACAAUACAUUGCAAUCUUCCAGCUUACAGCACAUGUGGGUAUGGAAAAGUGAUGUGUACAC